rnacentral:snRNA from 1 species
GCAUUUUAACCUUCUUCUUUUC